rnacentral:rRNA from 1 species
AAUGGCCUACCAAGACUGUGAUCAAUAGCUGAUUUGAGAGGAUGAUCAGCCACAUUGGACUGAGACACGGUCCAACCUUCUACGGGAGGCAGCAGUGGGGAAUCUUGCACAAUGGAGGAAACUCUGAUGCAGCGAUGCCGCGUGAGUGAAGAAGGCCCUUGGGUUGUAAAGCUCUUUCGUCGGGGAAGAAAAUGA